rnacentral:rRNA from 1 species
ACACGACUACAUUAGAUACCCCUGUAGUCCCAGCCCUAAACGAUGCGCGUUAGGUGUAUCGGUGACCACGAGUCACCGAGGUGCCGAAGGGAAACCGUGAAACGUGCCGCCUGGGAAGUACGGUCGCAAGGCUGAAACUUAAAGGAAUUGGCGGGGGAGCACCACAAGAGGUGGAGGCUGCGGUUCAAUUGGACUCAACGCCGGAAAUCUUACCGGGACCGACAGCAACAUGAAGGCCAAGCUGAAGACUUUGCCGGAUUAGCUG